rnacentral:rRNA from 1 species
GACGAACGCUGGCGGCGUGCUUAACACAUGCAAGUCGAACGGAAAGGCCCUGCUUUUGUGGGGUGCUCGAGUGGCGAACGGGUGAGUAACACGUGAGUAACCUGCCCUUGACUUUGGGAUAACUUCAGGAAACUGGGGCUAAUACCGGAUAGGAGCUCCUGCUGCAUGGUGGGGGUUGGAAAGUUUCGGCGGUUGGGGAUGGACUCGCGGCUUAUCAGCUUGUUGGUGGGGUAGUGGCUUACCAAGGCUUUGACGGGUAGCCGGCCUGAGAGGGUGACCGGCCACAUUGGGACUGAGAUACGGCCCAGACUCCUACGGGAGGCAGCAGUGGGGAAUAUUGCACAAUGGGCGGAAGCCUGAUGAAGCAACGCCGCGUGCGGGAUGACGGCCUUCGGGUUGUAAAACGCUUUCGCCUGUGACGAAGCGUGAGUGACGGUAAUGGGUAAAGAAGCACCGGCUAACUACGUG